AGUGAAGCUGCUGACGAGCGGCGGACGGCUGAGUAACGCGUGGGAACGUACCCUAAACUGAGGGAUAACUAAGUCGAAAGAUUAGCUAAUACCGCAUAUGAUCUUCGGAUUAAAGCUUUCGGGCGGUUUAGGAAUGGCCCGCGUACGAUUAGAUAGUUGGUGAGGUAAUGGCUCACCAAGUCGACGAUCGUUAGAUGGUUUGAGAGGAUGAUCAUCCAGACUGGGACUGAGACACGGCCCAGACUCCUACGGGAGGCAGCAGUAGGGAAUCUUUCACAAUGGGCGAAAGCCUGAUGGAAGCAACGCCGCGUGCAGGAUGAAGGCCUUCGGGUUGUAAACUGCUUUUAUAUCCGAGAAAUAUGAUGGUAAGAUAUGAAUAAGGAUCGGCUAACUACGUGCCAGCCGCGGC
rnacentral:rRNA from 1 species